rnacentral:rRNA from 1 species
CUCGUAGGCGGUUCGUCGCGUCCGGUGUGAAAGUCCAUCGCUUAACGGUGGAUCCGCGCCGGGUACGGGCGGGCUUGAGUGCGGUAGGGGAGGCUGGAAUUCCCGGUGUAACGGUGGAAUGUGUAGAUAUCGGGAAGAACACCAAUGGCGAAGGCAGGUCCCUGGGCCGUCACUGACGCUGAGGAGCGAAAGCGUGGGGAGCGAACA